rnacentral:lncRNA from 1 species
UACAAAAAUUAGCUGGGCAUUUUGGUGGUCGCCUGUAAUCCCAGCUACUGGGGAGGCUGAGGCAGGAGAAUCGCUUGAAACCGGAAGACGGAGGUGUUGAUGAGCUCAGAUUGCACCACUGCGCUCCAGCCUGGGCAACAAGAGGAAAACUGUGUCUCAAAAAAAAAAUUACCCCUAAGUCAAAAACAUCUUCACUUAUGCUUUCUCCUCAAAGUCUCCAAGUGCAAUUGUUGAUAAGGACUUUUGGUAAAAAGUUGGGUACAGAUCCAAUUUCAUUUUUCCCUGUCUAUAACUAUGUUUUCCCCUUCCAUUUAUUGAAGAAUUGUAGAAUUCCCCACCAGGGAGAUGGAGGCCAGAGACAUUCAGCAACUUGUACAAGAUCACACAGCUAAUAAUCGUCAAAUGGUAAAAGCUCGUGGCACCUCCCCACUCUCUCUCUUGCUCCUGCUCCAGAAUCUGCCAUAGUUUUAAUCUCUUUUGCUUCUAUCAUGUAAAUUAAGUGCAAAAAUCUCUGGCAGACUUUCAGUUCGAUUCUACUCAUCACUUUCUCCAUUCCUGCAUCAACUCCACGCUGUUUUAAUUUUUAGGGCCUUUUCAUACAUCUUGAUAUCUGGUUGAGCAACUAAUAUGGUUCGAUCUGUUUCCCUACCCAAAUCUCACGCUGAAAUGCAAUCCCCAAUGCUGGAGGUGGGGCCUGGGGGGAGGUGAUUAGAUCACUGCCUCAGUUUCUCACGGUUUAACACCAUCCCCCCUUGAUACCGUGUUGGCGAUAGUGAGUUCUCAUGAAAGCUGGUUGUUUAAAAGCUCAUGGCACCUCCCCACUCUCUCUCUUGCUCCUGCCCCUGCCAUGUAAGACAUGUCUGCCUCCCCUUCACUUUCCAACAUGAUUGGAAGCUUCCAGAGGCCUUCCCAGAAGCAGAUGCCGCCACGCUUCCUGCACAGCCUGCAAAACUACAAAGGUUUUGCUCUCACCGGGGCUGGAGUACACUGGCACAAUCAUAGCUCCCUGCAGCCGGGAAUUCCUGGGCUCAAGCGAGCCUCCACCGCCUAAGUAGCUGGGACAACAGAUGCGAGCCACCAUGCCUGGCCA